GACGAACGCUGGCGGCGUGCCUAAUACAUGCAAGUCGAGCGAACCAAUAAGAAGCUUGCUUUUUGUUGGUUAGCGGCGGACGGGUGAGUAACACGUGGGUAACCUGCCUGUAAGACCGGGAUAACUCCGGGAAACUGGUGCUAAUACCGGAUAGAUUAUCUUUCCGCAUGGAGAGAUAAGGAAAGAUGGCUAUUGCCAUCACUUACAGAUGGGCCCGCGGCGCAUUAGCUAGUUGGUGAGGUAACGGCUCACCAAGGCGACGAUGCGUAGCCGACCUGAGAGGGUGAUCGGCCACACUGGGACUGAGACACGGCCCAGACUCCUACGGGAGGCAGCAGUAGGGAAUCUUCCGCAAUGGACGAAAGUCUGACGGAGCAACGCCGCGUGAGCGAAGAAGGUCUUCGGAUCGUAAAGCUCUGUUGUUAGGGAAGAACAAGUAUCGGAGGAAAUGCCGGUACCUUGACGGUACCUGACGAGAAAGCCACGGCUAACUACGUG
rnacentral:rRNA from 1 species